UACAGAGGGUGCGAGCGUUUAAUCGGAAUUACUGGGCGUAAAGCGUGCGUAGACGGCUAUCUAAGUCGGGUGUGAAAGCCCCGGGCUCAACCUGGGGAAUUGCAUUCGAGACUGAAUAGCUAGGGUACGGUAGAGGGAAGUGGAAUUUCCGGUGUAGCGGUGAAAUGUCGUAGAUAUCGGAAGGAACAUCAGUGGCGAAGGCGGGUCGUCUGGGCCGGAUACUGACGUCUGAGGAGCGAAAGCGUGGGGAGCGAACAGG
rnacentral:rRNA from 1 species